rnacentral:rRNA from 1 species
GACUGAUGAGUUGCGAACGGGUGAGUAACGCGUAGGUAACCUGCCUCAUAGCGGGGGAUAACUAUUGGAAACGAUAGCUAAUACCGCAUAAGAGUAAUUAACACAUGUUAGUUAUUUAAAAGGAGCAAUUGCUUCACUGUGAGAUGGACCUGCGUUGUAUUAGCUAGUUGGUGAGGUAAAGGCUCACCAAGGCGACGAUACAUAGCCGACCUGAGAGGGUGAUCGGCCACACUGGGACUGAGACACGGCCCAGACUCCUACGGGAGGCAGCAGUAGGGAAUCUUCGGCAAUGGACGGAAGUCUGACCGAGCAACGCCGCGUGAGUGAAGAAGGUUUUCGGAUCGUAAAGCUCUGAUGUU